rnacentral:rRNA from 1 species
UACGUAGGGUGCGAGCGUUAAUCGGAAUUACUGGGCGUAAAGCGCACGUAGGCGGUUUUUUAAGUCAGAUGUGAAAGCCCCGGGCUCAACCUGGGAAUUGCAUUUGAAACUGGGAAACUAGAGUGUGUGAGAGGGGGGUAGAAUUCCAAGUGUAGCGGUGAAAUGCGUAGAGAUUUGGAGGAAUACCAGUGGCGAAGGCGGCCAUCUGGCCUAAUACUGACACUGAGGUGCGAAAGCAUGGGGAUCAAACAGG